rnacentral:rRNA from 1 species
GAUGAACGCUGGCGGCGUGCUUAACACAUGCAAGUCGAACGAUGAAGCCCAGCUUGCUGGGUGGAUUAGUGGCGAACGGGUGAGUAACACGUGAGUAACCUGCCCUUAACUCUGGGAUAAGCCUGGGAAACUGGGUCUAAUACCGGAUAGGAGCGUCCACCGCAUGGUGGGUGUUGGAAAGAUUUAUCGGUUUUGGAUGGACUCGCGGCCUAUCAGCUUGUUGGUGAGGUAAUGGCUCACCAAGGCGACGACGGGUAGCCGGCCUGAGAGGGUGACCGGCCCCACGGGGACUGGGAAACGGCCCAGCCUCCUCGGGGGGGGAACAGUGGGGAAUUUUGCCCAAGGGGCGAAAGCCUGAUGCCGCGCCCCCGGGUGGGGGAUGACGGCCUUGGGGUUGUAAACCUCUUUCAGGGGGGAAGAAGCGAAAGGGACGGUACCUGCAAAAGAAGCCCCGGCUAACUACGU